GACGAACGCUGGCGGCGUGCCUAAUACAUGCAAGUCGAGCGCAGGAAACUGACGGAACUCUUCGGAGGGAAGGCAGCGGAAUGAGCGGCGGACGGGUGAGUAACACGUAAGGAACCUGCCUCAAGGAUUGGGAUAACUCCGAGAAAUCGGAGCUAAUACCGGAAAGUUCAUCGGACCGCAUGGUCCGCUGAUGAAAGGCGCUCCGGCGUCACCUUGAGAUGGCCUUGCGGUGAAUUAGCUAGUUGGUGGGGUAACGGCCCACCAAGGCGACGAUGCAUGGGCGACCUGGGAGGGUGACAGGCCCAACGGGGACUGGGACACGGCCAAGACUCCUACGGGAGGCAGCAGUAGGGAGUCUUCCACAAUGGACGAAAGUCUGAUGGAGCAACGCCGCGUGAGUGAUGAAGGUUUUCGGAUCGUAAAACUCUGUUGUAAGGGAAGAACACGUACGAGAGGGAAUGCUCGUACCUUGACGGUACCUUACGAGAAAGCCACGGCUAACUACGUACCAGCCGCCGCAGUAA
rnacentral:rRNA from 1 species